rnacentral:rRNA from 1 species
AACGAACGCUGGCGGCGCGUUUUAAGCAUGCAAGUCGAACGGCAGCCUCUGCUUGCAGAGGUGAGAGUGGCGAACGGGUGAGUAACACGUAAGUGAUCUGCCCUGAGGAUGGGGAUAGCCUGUGGAAACACAGGGUAAUACCGAAUAACAUAACGAUUUUUGAAGAAGAUGUUAUGAAAAGAGCUACGGCUCUGCCUUGGGAUGAGCUUGCGGCCCAUUAGCUAGUUGGUGAGGUAAAGGCCCACCAAGGCAACGAUGGGUAGCCGGCCUGAGAGGGUGAACGGCCACAUUGGGACUGAGACACGGCCCAGACUCCUACGGGAGGCAG